rnacentral:rRNA from 1 species
AACGCUAGCUACAGGCUUAACACAUGCAAGUCGAGGGGCAGCAUGGUCUUAGCUUGCUAAGGCCGAUGGCGACCGGCGCACGGGUGAGUAGCACGUAUCCAACCUGCCGUCUACUCUUGGACAGCCCUCUGAAAGGAAGAUUAAUACAAGAUGGCAUCAUGAGUCCGCAUGUUCACAUGAUUAAAGGUAUUCCGGUAGACGAUGGGGAUGCGUUCCAUUAGAUAGUAGGCGGGGUAACGGCCCACCUAGUCUUCGAUGGAUAGGGGUUCUGAGAGGAAGGUCCCCCACAUUGGAACUGAGACACGGUCCAAACUCCUACGGGAGGCAGCAGUGAGGAAUAUUGGUCAAUGGGCGAGAGCCUGAACCAGCCAAGUAGCGUGAAGGAUGACUGCCCUAUGGGUUGUAAACUUCUUUUAUAAAGGAAUAAAGUCGGGUAUGGAUACCCGUUUGCAUGUACUUUAUGAAUAAGGAUCGGCUAACUCCGUGCCAGCAGCCGCGGUAAUACGGAGGGUCCGAGCGUUAUCCGGAUUUAUUGGGUUUAAAGGGAGCGUAGAUGGAUGUUUAAGUCAGUUGUGAAAGUUUGCGGCUCAACCGUAAAAUUGCAGUUGAUACUGGAUAUCUUGAGUGCAGUUGAGGCAGGUGGAAUUCGUGGUGUAGCGGUGAAAUGCUUAGAUAUCACGAAGAACUCCGAUUG